UACCUAUAAGACUGGAGUAACUUCGGGAAACCGGAGGCUAAUACCGGAUAAUAUUUCGAACCGCAUGGUUCGAUAGUGAAAGGUGGUUUUGCUAUCACUUAUAGAUGGACCCGCGCCGUAUUAGCUAGUUGGUAAGGUAACGGCUUACCAAGGCGACGAUACGUAGCCGACCUGAGAGGGUGAUCGGCCACACUGGAACUGAGACACGGUCCAGACUCCUACGGGAGGCAGCAGUU
rnacentral:rRNA from 1 species